rnacentral:rRNA from 1 species
UACGUAGGUGGCUAGCGUUGUCCGGAUUUACUGGGCGUAAAGCGCGUGUAGGCGGCCCGGUAAGUCCGCUGUGAAAGUCCAGGGCUCAACCCUGGGAUGCCGGUGGAUACUGUCGGGCUCGAGUCCGGAAGAGGCGAGUGGAAUUCCUGGUGUAGCGGUGAAAUGCGCAGAUAUCAGGAGGAACACCAAUGGCGAAGGCAGCUCGCUGGGACGUGACUGACGCUGAGACGCGAAAGCGUGGGGAGCAAACAGG